CUUUAGAUUAAGGUCUGUUGGCUGGUGAAUAGAACAGCAGAUUGAGCGCAGCCUCCGAUGGGUGGGAGGAGAAGUUGCUGUCUUGUGGAGAGCUGGGAGUAACGGCACAGGCUUUCACUUCUCGGCCUCUUGAGUUGAGUGUAUCCCUUGCUGUUGUGCCUCGUCUACUGGGAUACUGCAGUCUAUCUAUCUCUCUGUGAGUGUGAGUGAGUGAGUGAGUGAGCGAGCGAGCGUGCGUGCGUGUGUCUCUAUCUCUCUAUCUCUCUCUCUCUCUGUGUGUGUGUGUGUGAGAGACAGACAGACAGACGGACGGACGGAGUGGGGGCGAUGCUUUGCAGUGACUGAAGACUGGAACCAGUUGAGAGAACGUGGUGUCUGCGCUAACACGAAGAGCUGGUGAGCCAUACAAGAUUCUUGAUCUCUUGCAAACAGCUUGUAAACGGAUGCUACAGCCAACAAUUGGGGGCCAAUCUGUCAUGAAGGCGAUGUGAAAAGAUGGCUUUGCGAAUCCUCUGAGCACCUUGCAGAGUGAGAAAGAUGAACUGGAAACCAG